UCAGAUAGUCGGGGAACUCGACUACAGCGUUCUCUCUUGUUAUACCCGUUACUUGUAGAGUAAAAGGGUAUACUAGAUUUGUUGAAAAGUAUGUAACAGGCAGAAGGAAAUAUUUUAGUAUCUGAACGUCGUCAAAAUCGUCUUUUAUGAAUUCAAAUUGUAUGUUAUAAUAGUUAAGAGGUCUUUCUCUUAUUGAAAUGUGACUUUGGUUGUCUUCUGGUGCACUAUGCACCAGAAAGUUCUGCUUGCAUAGCAUCAGAAAAGACACCGGAUCCAAGGCAAGGCCUAGCGUUUUCGUAAAACCGCCUCCAUCGUCAAACCUCACGAACUCAAGAGAAUGCAGCGACUGUGCCCUAUGCCGGAAUGGACGCUCAAGGUGGCCGCAGUCACACGGAUAAAUAUCGUCAGCAAAGGUGGAGUGGGAGUAAAUUUUAAAGGCACACUUUGAAAUCUCCCCUGAAGGAUGUAAUUGGAUUUCCCACUUAAAGUACAGUUAAUUUUCAAAAAGUACAGUUCUGCGAGAUCGUUGAACAUUUUUCUUAAUGUUUCUUUAAGCUUAUCAAACACCUCCAACCUCACAUAAAGCUCCUUCUAGUGUUUAA